AUUGAACGCUGGCGGCAGGCCUAACACAUGCAAGUCGAACGAGUGGCGGACGGGUGAGUAAUGUCUGGGAAACUGCCUGAUGGAGGGGGAUAACUACUGGAAACGGUAGCUAAUACCGCAUACCAUCGGAUGUGCCCAGAUGGGAUUAGCUAGUAGGUGGGGUAACGGCUCACCUAGGCGACGAUCCCUAGCUGGUCUGAGAGGAUGACCGACCCAACUGGAACUGAGACACAGUCCAGACUCCUACGGGGGGCAGCAGUAGGGAAUAUUGCACAAUGGGCGCAAGCCUGAUGCAGCAAUGCCACGUGUAUGAAGAAGGCCUUCGGGUUGUAAAGUACUUUCAGCGGGGAGGCGUUACCCGCAGAAAAAGCACCGGCUAACUCCGUGCCAGCAGCCGCGGUAAGAUC
rnacentral:rRNA from 1 species